UACGGGGGAUGCGAGCGUUAUCCGGAUUUAUUGGGUUUAAAGGGUGCGUAGGCGGGAUGCCAAGUCAGCGGUCAAAUACGGGGGCUCAACCUGCGUCCGCCGUUGAAACUGGCGUUCUUGAGUGGGCGAGAAGUACGCGGAAUGCGUGGUGUAGCGGUGAAAUGCAUAGAUAUCACGCAGAACCCCGAUUGCGAAGGCAGCGUACCGGCGCCCGACUGACGCUGAAGCACGAAAGCGUGGGUAUCGAACAGG
rnacentral:rRNA from 1 species